CCCUUAGAUGUCCUGGGCCACACGCGCGCUACACUGAGUGUCUGAGAUACGAGUCUGCCUGGUCCGGCAAGGUCUAGGUAAUCGCUAAAAGACACAUCAUGCUUGGGAUAGAUUAUUGCAAAUAUUAAUCUUGAACGAGGAAUUCCUAGUAAGCGCAAGUCAACAGCUUGCGUUGAUUACGUCCCUGCCCUUUGUACACACCGCCCGUCGCUACUACUGAUUGGAUGUUUAAGCGAGGUUCUCGAACUGCUAGCGACUUAGCUUCGGUGAGGUCGCAGUGUGGGAAGUGAACCUAGCUUUGGUGUCUAGAGGAAGUAAAAGUCGUAACA
rnacentral:rRNA from 1 species